ensembl:piRNA 21ur-2823 ncRNA
UGCUAUUUCGGUUAUAACUGA